GGCAGUAAGGUGUAGUGGUUUGAGUGCUGGACCACGAUUCUGGAGACCAGGGUUCAAUUCCUUGCUCAGUCA